UGCUUUAUAUAUUCCAUUUGCUUUUGCCAAAAGACAGGAAAUAUGCAAUCUUAGUAUAACAAAAAGUACUAAUGUAUAAAAUAGAAAUGCCAUUAUAUAAAAUAGAAAUCAAUAAGAAUUCAAUAUGCUUAGAACUCGUUUCAGAGGAAUCACCAUUAUGUAACAGUUUUAUUACUAUCCAUCAAAAUUAUUUUCAAGGGGUACGCCAAGGAACUAAUUUAGAUAUAUAACUAGCAGUUUCAAAGACAGGAGACCACCAUGGCAAAAAACAAAUCAACAAACAGCUCAUCUCGUUAUAGCUGUCAGAACAAAAUUAGACUGGCCUGGGAAAAUAGCAUACCCAAAACUCACUUUGAGGGGAAGGAUGCAUUGGGGGACCUUGAAGAUACAGACGUUCUCCAGAAAACUGGCACCAAGGUACAUGGAGAGCCCGCCACGCUUCUCAAUCAAGAGAGACAUGCCACGGAUAUUGAUACCAAGAACAAAGACAAUCACCUGUCCAUUCAAAUAUGAGCACCAACUUUCAAAAGGCCUUAAUUUACGAUCAAGCUGUUUCUCACAAGGGUGACUAUGCAGGAUAUGGAUCAGCGGCAAUGUAUUUACUUAAUAAUUAAUGUUUCCCUGGAAUGACUAUGGGGGAGACCAGCUAGUGCAUAAAUAAACGUUUGCAUGAACUCAUAA